rnacentral:rRNA from 1 species
AUACGGAGGGUGCAAGCGUUAUCCGGAUUCAUUGGGUUUAAAGGGUGCGCAGGCGGAUAUUUAAGUCAGUGGUGAAAUCCCGGGGCUCAACCUCGGAACUGCCAUUGAUACUGAAUAUCUAGAAUACGGUUGAAGUGGGCGGAAUGUAGCAUGUAGCGGUGAAAUGCAUAGAGAUGCUACAGAACACCGAUCGCGAAGGCAGCUCACUAAGCCGAUAUUGACGCUCAGGCACGAAAGCGUGGGGAGCGAACAGGAUUAGAAACCCUAGUAGUCC